GUAAAGGUUAAUUGCUCGAGGAUGAGGGUGCACGAUAUAAGAAGACGUUUGUAAAGUGGAAGGCUGAGGAUUGAGGCUAAGUUAGGCGUAUUGGAAUUUUAAAAAAAAUGUGAUAAUAGGGGUUUAGAAGCAGGGUACGUUACAAUUUUUCAUAGUUUAAAUUCAUGGAUCGCAGUAAAUUUAACAAUGUGAGCACAAUUUUCAACCAUAUCGUGCGAUCUAAAUAUAUUCAAUUUCUGUGAGCCCCAAACUGACGAGGUGGAGUACGAGGCAAAGGUUAUUAGCUACAUUACGCUAAUUGACUUUCGUCCAUGCAACACCGGCUUCACGAACAGAUGUUAUUUUAAUAAUUAUUAUAAUUAUAAUAUUAUUCGAAUAUGUAAACAACGUAUUACUAGUUCCUGCUACAAAUUUAUUAAUUUAUAAUACAUAAAUUUUCGCAUUGCCAAUAAUCCUAUAAUAUUAUAAUUAAUUAAUUUAAUGUAAUAAUUUAGUUUCUAUAUUAAUCGUAAUGAUUAUAGUACGAAAUAUUCGUUUGAUUUUAUAAAUUAAUACAACAACGAAUAUUUGGAUUUAUAAUUAAACGAGGAAAAGUGAUAGUGAUAUUUUUUUUUCUCUAUGGACUCGUAACUUAUUGAGAAAUUUUUUUUUUCUUUCUCUUUUACACGCAAUGAAAUAUUCGAAUACAUAACUUUCAUGGAAAUUUUCGUUCAGGAUGGGAUUGAUGUCCAUUUAAAUUUUUUAUCGAUCAGAAAUAUAUCGGGAGAUUUUCAUGUUGGAAAAUAUUUAUAAAGUAAAUGUCAAAAAUAACACUUAAAAUAAUCGAAUUAGAAAACUUGAUUAUAUUUCGAACAAUUAUUAUUUCGAUUAAUUAUUUCAUUAUUACUCUAUAUAUUUCAAAUAAUACUAUUUUCCAUCACUGUUAAAAAUUGAAAUUAAAUUUUAAAAUUGCUAGUAAAAAAAAAAAUCUUUGGAAAUAAAAUUGUUUGUGUGAGUUAACAGUUAUUAAGGAAAAUGGGCGGGAAAUCUUCUUUGAUAGAUGGAUGAAAGAUCAAACCGUGCAGAAAUUAUAAUUAAUCGUUACUGACGUGUACUUAAAUUUUUUAAAUAUUAUUAAAAUAUACGCGCAUUUUUGUCAUAUCAAUUCAAAUCAUCAAAUAUUAUCCAACAGUGAGAAUUAUUGAGCCAAUAAUUUUUUAGGCCUAAAAAAAAAAACAAAAAAUAAAAAAAAUUAAUCUUUUAAAAUUUUACUUUUUAAAUAAAAUCAACAUAAAUCUUUA